GUAGCCCUCCUAGUAAUAAAUACGAUACACGUGCAUGCGGCAAGAGCCUCUGACCAGACUCCGUCUCUCUCUUCGACAUGCUGCUCUCCAUCGUUUGACCAAAGUCUCUUAUGUCACCAGUAGCAGAUGACGAAGAGAACAAAGACUGUUCGUGCAAAAACUUGUUGAAAGAUGAAGAUGAAAGCAAAAUAGAAGGAAGAUGGAUUCUCACAAACAAAAGUAUGUGGAUACAAAACAAACAGGUACAUUUACCAAAUAAAUACCAUUUCACUUUAUCUUACUUUC